GUGAGGAAUUUUCCGCAAUGGGCGAAAGCCUGACGGAGCAAUGCCGCGUGAAGGAUGAAGGCCUAUGGGUUGUAAACUUCUUUUCUUAGAGAAGAAUAUUGACGGUAUCUGAGGAAUAAGCAUCGGCUAACUCUGUGCCAGCAGCCGCGGUAAGACAGAGGAUGCAAGCGUUAUCCGGAAUGAUUGGGCGUAAAGCGUCUGUAGGUGGCUUCAAAAGUCUCCUGUCAAAGAUCAGGGCUUAACCCUGGGCCGGCAGGAGAAACUCUGAGGCUAGAGUUUGGUAGGGGCAGAGGGAAUUCCCGGUGGAGCGGUAAAAUGCGUAGAGAACGGAAGGAACACCAAAGGCGAAAGCACUCUGCUGGGCCACAACUGACACUGAGAGACAAAAGCGAGGGGAGCAAAAGGGAUUAGAUACCCUAGUAGUCC
rnacentral:rRNA from 1 species